rnacentral:rRNA from 1 species
UACGAAGGGGGCUAGCGUUGCUCGGAAUGACUGGGCGUAAAGGGCGCGUAGGCGGAUGGCACAGUCAGAUGUGAAAUUCCCGGGCUUAACCUGGGGGGCUGCAUUUGAUACGUGUGAUCUAGAGUGAGGAAGAGGGUCGUGGAAUUCCCAGUGUAGAGGUGAAAUUCGUAGAUAUUGGGAAGAACACCGGUGGCGAAGGCGGCGACCUGGUCCUUGACUGACGCUGAGGCGCGAAAGCGUGGGGAGCAAAACAGG